rnacentral:rRNA from 1 species
UACGUAGGGGGCUAGCGUUGUCCGGAUUUAUUGGGCGUAAAGAGCGUGUAGGCGGCCAGGUAGGUCUGCUGUGAAAACUCGAGGCUCAACCUCGAGACGUCGGCGGAAACCAUCUGGCUAGAGUCCGGAAGAGGAGAGUGGAAUUCCUGGUGUAGCGGUGAAAUGCGCAGAUAUCAGGAAGAAUACCCGUGGCGAAGGCGGUUCUCUGGGACGGUACUGACGCUGAGACGCGAAAGCGUGGGGAGCGAACAGG